rnacentral:rRNA from 1 species
UGCGAAUGGCUCAUUAAAUCAGUUAUCGUUUAUUUGAUAGUACCUUACUACUUGGAUAACCGUGGUAAUUCUAGAGCUAAUACAUGCUAAAAAUCCCGACCUCUGGAAGGGAUGUAUUUAUUAGAUAAAAAACCAAUGCCUUCGGGCUUCUUGGUGAUUCAUGAUAACUUUACGAAUCGCAUGGCCUUGUGCCGGCGAUGGUUCAUUCAAAUUUCUGCCCUAUCAACUUUCGAUGGUAGGAUAGUGGCCUACCAUGGUUUCAACGGGUAACGGGGAAUUAGGGUUCGAUUCCGGAGAGGGAGCCUGAGAAACGGCUACCACAUCCAAGGAAGGCAGCAGGCGCGCAAAUUACCCAAUCCCGACACGGGGAGGUAGUGACAAUAAAUACUGAUACAGGGCCCUUUUGGGUCUUGUAAUUGGAAUGAGUACAAUUUAAACCCUUUAACGAGGAACAAUUGGAGGGCAAGUCUGGUGCCAGCAGCCGCGGUAAUUCCAGCUCCAAUAGCGUAUAUUAAAGUUGUUGCAGUUAAAAAGCUCGUAGUUGAACUUUGGGUCUGGGUGACUGGUCUGCGUCUACCGCAUGCACUGGAAACCCGGAUCUUUCCUUCUGGAGAACCGCAUGCACUUUACUGGGUGUGCCGGGGAACCAGGACUUUUACUUUGAAAAAAUUAGAGUGUUCAAAGCAGGCAUUUGCUCGAAUACAUUAGCAUGGAAUAAUAAAAUAGGACGUGCGGUUCUAUUUUGUUGGUUUCUAGGACCGCCGUAAUGAUUAAUAGGGAUAGUCGGGGGCAUCCGUAUUCGAUUGUCAGAGGUGAAAUUCUUGGAUUUUUCGAAGACGAACUACUGCGAAAGCAUUUGCCAAGGAUGUUUUCAUUAAUCAGGAACGAAAGUUGAGGGAUCGAAGACGAUCAGAUACCGUCGUAGUCUCAACCAUAAACUAUGCCGACUAGGGAUUGGGCGACUGUGUUAUUUGAGUUGCUCAGCACCUUACGAGAAAUUAAAGUUUUUGGGUUCUGGGGGGAGUAUGGUCGCAAGGCUGAAACUUAAAGGAAUUGACGGAAGGGCACCACCAGGAGUGGAGCCUGCGGCUUAAUUUGACUCAACACGGGGAAACUCACCAGGUCCAGACACAUUAAGGAUUGACAGAUUGAGAGCUCUUUCUUGAUCAUGUGGGUGGUGGUGCAUGGCCGUUCUUAGUUGGUGGAGUGAUUUGUCUGCUUAAUUGCGAUAACGAACGAGACCUUAACCUGCUAAAUAGCUGGGUCUCGCUUUCGCGGGCUUUCUGG